rnacentral:rRNA from 1 species
AUUGAACGCUGGCGGCAGGCCUAACACAUGCAAGUCGAGCGGAGCGGCGGACGGGUGAGUAAUGCCUAGGAAUCUGCCUGGUAGUGGGGGAUACCGUCCGGAAACGGGCGCUAAUACCGCCUACUCUCAGAUGAGCCUAGGUCGGAUUAGCUAGGUGGUGGGUGAAAGGCCUACCAAGGCGACGACCCGUAACUGGUCUGAGAGGAUGAUCAGUCAAACUGGAACAGAGACAAGGUCCAGAUGCCUACGGGAGGCAGCAGUGGGGAAGAUUGGACAAUGGGCGAAAGCCUGAUCCAGCCAUGCAGCGUGUGUGAAGAAGGUCUUAGGAUUGUAAAGCACUUUAAGUUGGGAGGCGUUACCAACAGAAUAAGCACCGGCUAACUUCGUGCCAGCCGCCGCGGUAAUUC